CGUAAUCGUCGAAUCGGGAUCGUCCACCACCAUGCAUCCGUCGAUUCAACGAUUCGGCGGCAAAUGGUGGGUCACCUACCACACUGGAGACAAGACUGGUGGUACUGACUUCCGCCGUGCAGUCU
rnacentral:misc_RNA from 1 species